GGGUCUCCUCCUUAAUCACGUGUGAACGCGGCCGCCUAGUCCACGUGUUGGACGCACUGGAGCCUCAAGGGUCUGCUCACACAGGAUCCGUGGGACGAGAAAAAAGGUUUCUUUAAUGUUGCCGCUUUUGCAUCGGGAGGGGAAGCUUGUGACGAGAAGCCAUCAGCAAGCGCUCCUGCUUUGCCCUGCCCUGCAUCAGAGGCUGCAAGAGGGGAGGGGGGCUCCCUAGCAAGGAAGCCCCCUGGAAAUCCCCCCAGCCUUGACCCCUCCUCUGAGUCCUGGGAUGGGGAAGCGUGCAAGGAAGAGCAGCUGCAGCCACAUUUCCUGACCUGACCCCCGGGCGCCGUGGCAGGGAGGGUUGGGCCUGCGGUCCUGUCCUGCCUCAGGGAUGGGGGAGUGGAGAGUGCUGGUCGCUGGAAGAACAGUCGCCUCGUAUUCUCACUCUGUGUUUCCUUACGCUGUCCCCCUGAGUGUCAGUAUGGCAGGUGGACCCGCUUCUCGUGCAGCCCAGAGUGAGAGAGUGAGCCCACACGAGACGGAGCAGGCAGACACAGUGACAGCUCUUCCAUGGAGCAGGCUUCAGGGUCCCUUCGCCUGGCUGAUGAAUCCCAGUCCUUACAAGGCUAGGAUUUGCUAGCAGGUGGCAGAGGGAACUGCCAAGUGAACAAUCAGAGAAAGCAGCAGCAGUGACUUUCCCAGUCUUUUCCUGCUGGGAGACAGAAAAGUAGAGCAGUCUGAUGGAGGUGGUUAUUGCUGCAGCUUCAUCUUCUUUCUCUGGAGUCGCAUGUUUCCAGGGGCUUGCUGGGAAGCCACAGCAGGCAGCUCCUGCUCUUUCCUCCUCCCUUUUGUUCAGCUCCCUGAGGCACUGUGGCAGGGUGUUGCUGAAAGAGAGAUGGACCAGGAACAGCUGCCUCUCUCAUCACUACUUCCCCUCACUCUGGGUAAUGCAGCACAGAGAGUUAGUUUUUGAGGGAAAAACCACCUGAGCUGCUCACCUGCAUUCUCCUUGUCAGCAGCAGUGGUGGGAAUUCUGCCCAGUGAACCAAAUUGUCCCUGCUGGACCAGGAAAAGGAUUCAGCAGCUGCUUCCUCAGCCUUCUUUUCUCAGAAGGAACUGAUGACUGCUGCUCUCUCCUGUGGUUCAUCUGUCUCCUCCAGUUUUAUCUGCUGCCUGUUUAGGUGAUACAACAGGAAACAUUGGACUUAGUGGCCAAGAAAAGUGGAAGGAAGUGAUGGACUGCUUACCCACCCUUUGCCUGUCUGCCUGCUUUUUAUCACUGGGUGGUGUGGUGAAGGGACCUUGAACAAGAGAAGUGUGAUCAAGCCUUUGAGGAGCUGCUGCCACCUUUAUUUUACUCACCCUCCUUCUUUCAUUGGGUGGUGUGAAGGACUGGGCUUGUUGGGGCCCAAUCCCCACCAUGGAGGAAAAGUAUGAUGUUGCACUGCCUAGAAAGAGCAGGUCUUACCUUCACGUUUUACUGAAACAGUUGUCCAUUUGAAAGACCUUGGCUUACAUAUGAAGUUCCUGAUUUUAAAGUGGCGCAAUUGCAAUGAAGAAAAGGAGAAAGCUGACUGCAAAUCUAAAUGACAAAACACAUUGUGGUCAUCAAAGGGAAUCUCCAGAUGAACUUCCUGUAGCGGGCUCUGUGCAGAAAACUAGUGUUGAUUCUGUAGGAGCAGCAACAACAGACAAGGUUGUUUGUUUCAAAGAACUUCCUCCAUCACCAGAUCAAAGAAAGCUUUUAAGUUCUCUUCAGUACCACAGAAAUCUGCUCAAAUACUUAAAUGAUGACCGACAGAAGCGAUCGUCGUUUUGCGAUCUGCUCAUAAUUGUUGAUGGAAAAGAAUUCAGUGCCCACAAAGUCGUAGUUGCUGUUGGGAGUAGUUACUUCCAUGCUUACCUGAGCAAAAAUCCAAAUACUAAUGUUGUUACCUUGGAUCAUGUAACUCAUUCAGUUUUCUGUCAUCUGCUUGAGUUUCUGUACACUUCAGAGCUGUUUGUGUAUAAAAAUGAAAUCCCUUUAAUCUUAGAGGCAGCCAAGUUUUUAGAUAUUAUUGAUGCUGUUAAACUGCUAAAUAGUGAAAAUGUUUCCAGUUUGCAAUCAGAAGACAGAACUGGGAACCUAUCACAGGUAGAAACCUGCAGUGAACUAACUCCUAAAGUAGCAAGCAAUCACCAGUGCACUUUGUGCAGUCGCAACUUCUGUUACAAGAAAUCCUUAGAAAAUCACUUAUCCAAAGCACACAAAUCCUCUUGGGAAAAAGAGCAUGGGCUAAAAAUGGUUGAGAGGCCAGAGAUCUCUACCAGAAGAUCAAUGCGAAAUCGCAGGUGCCCAGCUAAGUUUGAUCAGAGUGACAAUGAAAGUGGAGAUGUGUCUGAUAGCAAUUUAGAUAAAGUCAGUCCCAGUAAGGAGAACAGUGAGUUUAACAAUGAGUCUGAAGACAGCAGGAGUGACUAUAACACUGAUGAAGAGAGGCAGGAGGAGGACACGGACGAAGAUACAGAGUCUGAAGAGCAAAGUGAAAAAGAGCAUGAUAAAGACAGCCAGGAGCCUAGUGACCUGACAGAAAAUAUAUCCGAAGGCAGUCUUUCCACGUAUAUUCCAGUCAUUAUUCAGAACAGUAACAAAAAAUGUUUGCAGUGUCCUAAAUGUGAUAAAACCUUUGAUCGAGCAGGGAAAUUUGAGAGCCACGCUCGUGUGCACACUGGUGAAAAGCCUUUUGAAUGUGAUAUCUGUCAUCAGCACUAUUCGACCAAAUCUAACUUAACUGUACAUAGAAAGAAUCACAACAAUGAGAUUGAAUUCCAUAAAAAGGAACACAAAUGUCCAUUCUGUAACAAGCUGCAUGCUGCCAAAAAAACCUUGAUAAAGCAUGUAAAGAGAUUCCAUCCUGAAAAUGGGCAGGAAUUUCUCUCCAUCAAGAAGAAAAAGAGUGAAGGCUGGAAAUGUGAUAUUUGCAAUAAAUCUUUCACACGGAGGCCUCAUCUGGAAGAACACAUGAUCCUUCACACCCAGGAUAAGCCUUUCAAGUGUACCUAUUGUGAAGAGUACUUUAAAUCCCGCUUUGCGAGACUGAAGCAUCAAGAAAAGUUCCAUCUAGGACCUUUUCCAUGUGACAUUUGUGGUCGUCAGUUUAAUGACACUGGGAAUCUGAAGCGCCAUAUUGAAUGCACUCAUGGAGGGAAAAGAAAAUGGACUUGCUUUAUUUGUGGAAAAUCAGUUAGAGAAAGAACAACUUUGAAAGAGCACUUGCGAAUCCAUAGUGGAGAGAAGCCUCAUCUGUGUAGUAUUUGUGGCCAGAGUUUUCGUCAUGGGAGUUCAUACAGGCUUCACCUGCGAGUCCACCAUGAUGAUAAGAGGUAUGAAUGUGAAGAGUGUGGAAAGACGUUUAUUCGUCAUGACCAUCUGACAAAGCACAAAAAGAUACACUCAGGUGAAAAGGCCCAUCAGUGCGAGGAGUGUGGAAAAUGUUUUGGCCGACGGGACCACCUCACUGUUCAUUACAAAAGUGUUCAUCUGGGAGAAAAGGUGUGGCAAAAAUACAAAGCAACGUUUCAUCAAUGUGAAGUCUGCAAGAAAGUUUUUAAGGGAAAAUCAAGUUUGGAAAUGCAUUUUAGGACACAUUCAGGUGAGAAGCCAUACAAAUGUCAAAUUUGUAACCAGUCCUUCCGAAUUAAGAAGACGUUAACUAAACACAUGGUUAUUCAUUCAGACGCUCGCCCUUUUAACUGUCAAUACUGCAAUGCAACAUUUAAACGAAAGGACAAGCUGAAAUAUCACACUGACCAUGUGCAUGGAGGAAAGUCGACGGAAGAAUCACUAAGCCCGGUGUCGGAGGAGAAAAGCAUUUCUUUGCCAGCCCAGUAUACGCCUGACGACAAGGCUUUUCAAAGUGACUCCAAGCCAUUCAUGGAACAGACCAAGCCUUACCAAGCCGAGAGCAAACCGAUGCUGCAGAAUGUAUCCCCGGACACGUGUGUGCCGGUAACGCUGAUACCUGUUCGAACGCGUGAAGCGCAGUCUGAUCUGGUACAGCAUUCACCUCCUGUUACAGCCUCCCCGCAUAACAUUCUUCCUCCACAGGCCCCUCCAACAGAUUAUCAACAAGCAGCAGAUUUGGCAUUUCUAGAAAAAUAUACUCUUACUCCCCAGCCUGCGAACAUAGUACACCCCGUCAGGCCUGAGCAAAUACUGGAUCCUAGAGAACAGUCUUAUCUUGGCACGUUGCUUGGUUUGGAUACGGCUUCUUCUGUACAGAAUAUCUCAAGUAAUGAACAGCCAUGAACACAUCUAAUGGGACGUUCUAUUCCAUGAAUCUUACUAAUUCAUGUAGCUGGCUGCAGGCUGAUCCGCCUCUUCGACUGUCUUCAGCUUCCUCGGUCUUUUGAAAGCUGUUGAGCACGAGGAAGACACACGUUGGUUUUUUAAUGCAGUGGUUUAGCACUUGAGGUGAAAAACAUGUGGGCCCCUCUUUAUGCUGCAGGUAUGCUUCUACCCAUCCACCAAUUCAAGUCUUUCCACUACUGGAGACAAAGGGUACAUUUUGUCUUUGACAAAAUUAGCUUUAGUUAGAAUGUUAGCAAUGGUAGCAUAUCAAUCUAUGUAGAUUAAAAUUGAUGUUUUAACAGUGGCUUUGUUUGGACAUCACAACAUCAUCCCCAUGGGAAUCAUUUGUUGUGGGUUGGUUGUUUUUGUGACGUACCCACAAUGAGCCUGACAAGAUGAUUGAGCUCAUUGUGGAUACUUUGCUCCCACCCUGCCCCUUGUUCUUCCAGGUGGCAUUUCAGAGGGCUCUCUAGGGUUGCAGGAGCCUUCUCUUUCUGACAGCUGUAAUUGUGAGCCAAUUCCAGCUUGCUCUGGAAUUUCAGCACAGCCCCAUUUUCCAGUAAACUCUGAGAACCUUUAAAGCAGGAGGGUAGGGUGCACCUUCCUGAGCCCCCAGGUCGGGAGUUGCUUUCUCAUGGAAAACGGGAAAAACAGUGGAAGAGCAGAACCUUGCCUAAAAGAGGUUUCAGUUUGUGGAAAAACAGCUCCUUCCUGGCACAAGAGCUUGCUUUCCAUGGGUAGUGGCAGGGGAAGGGACUCCCACCUUUGGCUUAGGCAGUGCACAAAAGGCUACCUUUCACAAAGGGAUGGUGGGCAGCCCCUCUGGGCACUGCCGCUCCUCCAAGUAGCCUGAGCGCCUAUUGAAAGCAAUGAGGGAGCUUUUGCCAGGAAGGGUCCUUUGCUGCAAUUUGAAGAAAACAAGCCCCAUCAGUGAAGUGGACCCAGUUUGCAUGGCACAAUAACUCACCCAUGAUGACAACCCACCCUUGCGUUUGUUUGAAUCCUGCCCUUACCUACCUCCAUGAUAAAAUUGAGAACAGCUUUAUGGCUCCCAUAAAGCUUCUGUAUAUCCUGAGGGAACUGGAGAAGUUCACACCAGGCCAGAAACUCCAGUGUUUUCUUGAAUGUAGGGUCCCUUAGUAUGGACACUGAUUCCUAUGCGUGGUGAGAAAAACAAGGCAGCAUGUGACCCUGGUGCCCACUGGUGUUCUUGCCCUAGGGGAGUAAGUAUGUGAGCACUUCUAGGAGGACUGCUGUUGCCAGACUGUCAGUCCUAAAGCACUGGCAUACUGUUCUCUCUCUCCUUAACAGAUUUUCUGCAUAAGAAGGAAGGCCAAAUAAGUUACAGGAUAGCACAGUAAGUAGCGUUAUAGAGGGAGGCUCUCAUCAUCUGGAUUUCUCCUCCCAUCAAAGGUUUUAAAUAAAUCCUGUGAAUGAAGCAGGGAACUGGUGCAAUAAAUGCUUUCUUUGAAAGCCCCCUGGGUGAGGAGCCCUUUAGCCCAAGAUGGAAUGAAAAUGGUUUAAUUUUGGUUAAUUACUGAUGAGCCAAACAGUUAAUGAGCAAAAUCCUUUCUUGAGAAAUAACCAUACAAAAUCCUUUCUUGAGAAAUAACCUUUUAAUAAGAACUGGUAACGAAUAAACAUAAAUAAGAGCCUUGCCUUGCCUUGUUCUCAUAUAUGUGCUGACGGAGAAAGGUGGCUGAUACUCAAAGGCAAAGUUAUGAAUUAAGCACUAAAUCAUCCCCCUUCACCCAGUCAUAUUGACUGCAAAACUAAAAGUAAUAACCUGCCCUUUCACCUUGUUAAGAUUCCCUAAAUAUCUUUCCCUUAUAAUACAAAAUAGUUUAUCACAAUGCCUUAGACAGCAACUAGUAGAUCCAAGAUACAAGUGAAACAUUUAACUGAGUAAUUCUAGGUAAAUUUACUUAGAAUUAAAAUUCUAUUGAAAUCAGUGUGAUUUCUGAGUAGUUGAUUGUGAUUGUAGUUCUGGAUUUGAGCACUCAGUUGUAAAUCUUGACGAUGAUUGGCAUUUUAAAUGUCUGAUAAUUUCCUAAAUGUUGAUAAUUAGUUCUCUAGUGUUCUCUGGAGAUGCAGAAAAAACUAUGUUCUUUAGAUAGCUGUGGGAAUGGCCUAAAGUAUAUUUGAGAUUUCAGAAAGAUACAAAUGGGUUGUAGCACCUACAAAUAUAGUAGUUGAUACCCAUUCUGGUAUUUUAUUUUAUAAAUGUGAUAUUCUGAAAUCUGAACAAUGAUGGAACCAAAAGCUAGCUUGAUGUUAGACACUCCCGUGCAUUAAGUUCAGAUUAUCUUGAAACAGGUGGUUGUUACGUGGUUUCUUAGCAUUAGCCAAACUUAGGACAGAAUCCAAAAAUGCUGAAGGUGGUUUCAAAAACUUAAUUGUUCCCUAAGUACACCAAAGUUGCUUGUUCAGUUAUGACUAAAUAUUAGAAUAUGUCAAAUUGAACAUAUCUAUUGAAAGAUUGGUCCAAAGAGAUAGCAAAUAAGUCCUGGCUUUAUGACAGUUUCAGGUUUAAUUCUUAAAAGGGAUGGGUGUGUGUUGGAGGUGUAUUAGUAGUAGCAAGGUUAAAAAAUAGAGUAGUCUCCUUGAUUUCAAUUAAAUUAAUUGUGACUAUCUCAAUCCCAUUCAUUUCAACAGAUCUACUCUUAGUAUAAGUAAAUUUGGAUCCAACCUGGUACUAUAUCUGUUUUGGCAUUCUGAUACUCUGGAAAAUAAGCUCUAUAGCCCUAUUUCUUCCAGGGUUGUUGUGUUCAGUAGAGGGGUCUGCAUGUACUGGAGGCUGCUUAUUUUUAAUUACUUGUGCAUAACAACAUGUGUAUAUGAACUUGACACUUUUGAUAUUUAUUCAGAGUGUGUUUUAAAUGUGAAAAAAUGGCUUGGCCCUGCCCUUUAAAAUAUAUUUUGAUAUGGAGAUCAUGGAAUUAAAACGAUUAAUGUUGA